CUUGACGACCAUAGAGCGUUGGAACCACCUGAUCCCAUCCCGAACUCAGAAGUGAAACGAUGCAUCGCCGAUGGUAGUGUGGGGU
rnacentral:rRNA from 1 species